UACAGCCCGCGCGAGGGAAAAGGUUUGAACAAGGAGAGGAAGAGGAACGAGAAACAGAGGUCGUUGCUUUGAGUCGGGGGAGAGUUUGAGCCAAUAGCUGGUGUGAUGGGCGGGGAUGGCAGCAGGCGCUUGCAGGUACCUGCUUCUGUCUUCCUCUCCCUCGUCCACCUUGUUAAGCGCCAGUCCAACCCGGAUGUCCAGAGAGGAGACCCACCACGGCAGGGGCUCACAGGAAGGACUCAGGGCAACAAAAGGCAGAGAAGAGCCUAGAAGAGGAUUUCUGUUUCCCAGGGCAUCAGAAGUCGGCACUGCUGGGACCACUCCCACGGGAGAGGAUGGAUUCCCCGGAGGAGGUGGUACCGCAGCCUCAGAUCCACAACGUCGCUGGCCAGUGCCAGCC